AUGAAUAAAAUGUUAAGCACCGACUGUUUAGGGACGCAGGAGUUUCAUACAUUCCACAAAACCACUGAAAUACUGGAAGACUCGCAAUCUGAAGAGAUUACAUUCCGCGAAACAGCGCUGGGGUCAACGCUAGUAGAUCAUCAAAAUGUCCACUCUACUGCCGCAGUAUCAGCAGGAGACACUGGAAUGGCUGAAGUCAACUUGUUGCAUGGUGAAUCUGACACAUCAGCUACCGGUUUACUGCCAGUGUCAUUCUUGUCAUGCAGUCCUAGAUCUAUGGUUCCAAUAUCAGUUCCGUCAUCAUCUGGCCUUGAAGCUAUCCUGACACCUAAUCCAAUGUACAGUGAUGUUCAGUUGAAAGAAGUGAACUACAAUGCUACAGCAAUGGACGAAAGCACCGAGUUCCUUCAGCUGAUUCUUAGUGGCAAUGAUGAAGGCUACAAUACUACAAGCGAACUGCAAGUUUGGGAUGUUCUGGAUUUCUACUUCUCAGAAAGUUUUUCUGAUGUACAAUUUGAUAGCAUAAUGGGUUUUACAAGUGACGUCAGUACUUCCUCUCAUGAUUAUAUGAUGAAUAUUGUUGACUUGGUAGAGCGGCCUGUGGCACUCCUGUCUCUCAAUGAGACAGAGGAACCAAAUAAUGCAACCAAUAAGGCUCCAGUCGAUCACAGUACAAUGGACCCUGAUGACACAUCCUUGUACCUUCAAAUGAAACCACCAGAUUCAGAAACCGAAAGUACUUCUGCCUCUCAGGAUGUGAUAGGAAUUGAGUAUGGUGAUGAAAAGCUUCAUUCUAGAGGUCUGCCUGAUUUAAUGGAUGUUGACUCAUCCAAUCGUCUGCGAAAAUCACCAGUGAGAACAAAGCAUGUCACUCUUGUGCUUGAUUUGGAUGAGACUCUUGUCCAUUCAACAUUGGAUCACUGUGAUAUAUCUGAUUUCAGCAUUCAAGUUUUCUUCAAUAUGAAAGACCAUACAGUCCAUGUGAGACAAAGGCCCCACCUGAAGAUGUUCCUUGAGAAGGUAGCUCAGAUGUUUGAGCUUGUCAUUUUCACAGCUAGUCAGAGAAUCUAUGCUGAGCAGAUAAUAGAUAGGCUUGACCCUGAUGGGAAAUUGAUCUCGCAGCGAAUAUAUCGUGAGUCAUGUAUAUUCUCUGAUGGCAGCUAUACAAAAGACCUGACAAUUCUGGGAGUCCACUUGGCAAAAGUUGCUAUAAUUGACAAUACGCCACAGGUUUUCCAGUUGCAAGUCGAUAAUGGUAUCCCGAUAAAAAGCUGGUUUGAUGACCCCGCGGACCAGGAACUGGUUGAGUUACUCCCGUUCCUCGAGACCCUUGUUGAUGCAGAGGACGUAAGGCCACUAAUCUCAAAGACUUUUCAUGGCACAGUCCAGCAGGAUUAG
rnacentral:rRNA from 1 species